AUAAAGUUUUAUUCUUGCUUUUAUUUUAUUUAUUUAAUUAAUUUACAUGUUUUUUUUUUUCAGUAAUUAGUUUUAUUAUUUAUUAUACUUAAUUAUUUAUUUAUUUAAUUAAUAUUAGAAUCAUAUUGUGCCAGCAUUCGCGGUUAAACAAUAUAAUAAAAUUAAGAUUUUUGGUUUAUUGAUUUUUUUAUAUUUGAUUAAAUUUAUUUAUAUUUAGGUGAAAUUUAUAUUUAUUUAAAUUUCUUUUAAUUUUAUUUUAAAAUUUGUUUUUAAACUAGGAUUAGAUACCCUAUUAUUUAUUUCUUAAUUUUACUUGAUUAAUAUUAGUUAUGUUCUUUAAAAAUCAAAGAAUUUGGCGGUUAAUAAUACCUUAUUAGAGGAACAUGUAUAUUAAUUGAUAAUCCACGAUAAUUUUUACCAAUUUUUUUAUUUGUAUAUCUCUAUUGAUAGAGUAUUUUUAUAAAAAUUUUCUUUAUUUUUUUUAGAAAAAAUUUUAGGUCAAGGUGCAGUUUUAUUUUGGUUUAUAUGUGUUAUUUUAUUUAUAAAUAAUUAUUUUAUCUAAUUGAUCAUAUUUAGGAUUUAAUAGUAAAUUUAAUUAAUUAAUUAAUUUGAAUUAAGUUAUAAUUAAUGUACAUAUCGCCCGUCACUCCUUUAUAUAGGAUAAGUCGUAACAAAGUAGAUUUACUGGAAAGUAAAUCUAGAUUAUAAU
rnacentral:rRNA from 1 species